rnacentral:rRNA from 1 species
UGUAAGCGUAUACCAAAGUUGUUGCAGUUAAAACGCUCGUAGUCGGAAUUUGGCAGUUCCGGAUGUGUGCACGUCGUGUGCGCACUUCGCGGGGAUUGCUUUUGUGGUCUUGCGUAGGAUGAGGCACUUUUAUUAGUGAACGUCCUCACGCAACCACUUUUUACUGUGAGAAAAUCAGAGUGCUCAAAGCAGGCAUUUGCUGUGAAUGUAUUAGCAUGGAAUAAUAGAAUAGGACUUGGUUCUAUUUUGUUGGUUUGUUGGGACUGAGUAAUGAUUAAGAGGGACAGUUGGGGGCAUUUGUAUUUCGGUGCUAAAGGUGAAAUUCUUAGAUUACCGAAAGACAAACUGCUGCGAAAGCGUCUGCCAAGGAUGUUUUCAUUGA